rnacentral:lncRNA from 1 species
GUUUGUUUCAAUUAUAAAUUAUGUGAAAUACACAGCGCUCAUGGCUUUACUUUGUGUUUCUUAAGUAUAUUUAAUUUACAAUGCACUUUCCAUGGACUGCCCUAUUUGAUCCAGACAGUAGUCCUGUGAGGUAUGUAGUAUAAACUUUAUUAUCCCUAUUUUAAAUGUGAGAAAAUUGAGGCCCAGAGAAGAGGUGACUUAUCCAUAUUCACAUAGGUACCAGACCUCUUCACUGUGAGUCCAACAUUAUUUCCACUGCCUUCUUUAUUCUAAUCUGGCAGGGCUGGAUGAACACCCUUCCUUCUUUCACAUUUCUAAGGCAGACAAAUAUAGUAACUGACUCUACAAACAACUUGUCUCCCUUCUGUGGAGUUUGAUGUGAAUGCCUCUGGGUUUCACUUCACACCUGACAACUUGAAGUGAAACUUCACUCUGACCACUGGAGUUGCGCUUGGUUUGAGGUUAGGGCUAUGCAAAAUUGUCUAAUUUUUUAUGAUUUCCAUUGACAACUAGAAUCUCAUCCUUUGAGCAUGGCUUGAGGAGGAAGGUAACAUAAAGCACUCCCUGUGAGCUCCUAACAUCACAGGGCUAAGGUUGGGGUUCUUGAGUUAGAUAGGUUUUGAGCCCUAUUCCAUCUAUCUACACAUUAGGAUAUUUUCUGCAAUCUCUAGGCCUAGCAAAUUGCCUGGGCCACUGACCAGGUAAGUGAUUUGCCCAGAAUCACACAGCCGGUAUGUGUCAGAAGUAGGACUUGAACGCAGACCUUCCUGGAUGGUCUCUAUCUACUACACCAUGCUUCCUCUCUGGGGAUGAGAUUGAGAAAUUGGGCUGAAAUGUGGCUCCAAGGGCAUCAUAGAGCUAUCCUUUGUUACUGCCUCGGGAAACAAAACAAAGCCUGGAGACAUGGCAGGCCUCAGAUGUUGCUUCCCAGGAUGACAUGUGACAGACACCCCAACAGAGAAGACUUUUGUCUCGUCCUAAUGAAUAACCCCCCAGCAACCUCAAGCCCUCCCCAUUCCCUGCAUCAGAUCAGAACCCUGUCACUUGCCCUGAACAUGUCUCAUUUCAGUGCAUGGCACUUUUCAUUUUAAACAUUAAAGACAAAUUUUCCAAGCUCUGCAACCUGUCUCCAAAGCCUCUUGUUUUAGGAGAAUUUGUAUUUCUAGG